CAAUGGGCGGUACCAUGUGGGAGAGAAGGGAGGCUGGUUGGCGGACAAUGGAGCCUGUGUGUGUUUGCGGGAAAGGAACGAAUUCACCGUCGCCGGGGGGAGACGCUGCGCCGCCCCCUCCUGCCCGGGGCUGAGAGGUGCCCCCCGGCUGGGCGAGGCCCCCGCCCUUGCUCGGGCAAGCGGUGAUCAUUUUUUGUGUGCAAAGGACUUCUGAACCCAUCUCCUCCAGGAUGACCAACACAAUGUUGUGACACUGGACUUCUGAUAUGUGCCUGUACUUGAUUUGGAUUUGACUACAGAGAAACUUCCCUCUUAUCUGCUAAAUCUAGCACACCUGGUUAUUGCUUAAAUAUAGUAUCUGAAAAGCAUUCUGAUCGGCAUGUACAUGCGACAUCCAUCUGGCGGAACAUCUCAUUUCACCCUUGCAGUUAAAAAGUGAAGAAAUGGCCAUAUACUGAUUGUUGGUCUUUUGA